AUUGAACGCUGGCGGCAUGCCUUACACAUGCAAGUCGAACGGUAACAGGUCUUCGGAUGCUGACGAGUGGCGAACGGGUGAGUAAUACAUCGGAACGUGCCCAGUAAUGGGGGAUAGCUCGGCGAAAGCCGGAUUAAUACCGCAUACGCCCUGAGGGGGAAAGUGGGGGAUCGCAAGACCUCACGUUAUUGGAGCGGCCGAUGGCUGAUUAGCUAGUUGGUAGGGUAAAGGCCUACCAAGGCGACGAUCAGUAGCUGGUCUGAGAGGACGAUCAGCCACACUGGGACUGAGACACGGCCCAGACUCCUACGGGAGGCAGCAGUGGGGAAUUUUGGACAAUGGGGGAAACCCUGAUCCAGCAAUGCCGCGUGUGCGAAGAAGGCCUUCGGGUUGUAAAGCACUUUUGUCAGGGAAGAAAUCCUUUGGGCUAAUACCCUAGGGGGAUGACGGUACCUGAAGAAUAAGCACCGGCUAACUACGUGCCAGCAGCCGCGGUAAUACGUAGGGUGCAAGCGUUAAUCGGAAUUACUGGGCGUAAAGCGUGCGCAGGCGGUUGUGUAAGACAGGUGUGAAAUCCCCGGGCUUAACCUGGGAAUUGCAUUUGUGACUGCACGACUAGAGUGUGUCAGAGGGGGGUGGAAUUCCACGUGUAGCAGUGAAAUGCGUAGAUAUGUGGAGGAACACCAAUGGCGAAGGCAGCCCCCUGGGAUAACACUGACGCUCAUGCACGAAA
rnacentral:rRNA from 1 species